rnacentral:ncRNA from 1 species
AAAAGGAUAGACGCUCAAAGCGUCUUUUUUUAUAGCCGAAAACUAGCCUAAUCAAACCUUUGAAAGGCAACGUCAAAUUG